CCGGGGAGUGUUGGCCAAAGGCCCUCCGAUGCCUAAGUUAGUUCGAGUGUUUGUAGGAAAACAAUAGCUAAGCAAAGGGUACGGAGUUGUAUGUAGGGUGUAAACCGGGUGGCCGGAGCCGUGUGUGGUGGCCGGAGCCGUGUGGAGAAAAUAUGGAGAGUGGAGAGGGAGAGAGAGCUUCGGGUAUUUUUCUCAGGUAUAAGGAGUAGGUUUAGAUGUACCUUGAAUGAUGAAUGAGGUCGUCUAUUUAUAGGAGCCUCAGGACUAGG
rnacentral:lncRNA from 1 species